rnacentral:lncRNA from 1 species
AUGAGGUUGCUACUUGCCUGCUCCAGGACCGAGCAGCACUGGGAGUUCUGCCCAGCUCAGCACUUCGUUAUACUGUGGAAGCAGGAAGGAACUGGCCAGCAGGCAUUCCCAAGAGAACACUCAGAGGGACGCUGGUCCAGUGGACUGACAGGUGGCAGAUGCAAAUGGGAAUUGAGGUGGAAGCCGAGGACUGAGGACUUCGAGGGCAUCCCCAGGACUCCAUGCUGGAUACCUUCACUGACUGACGGGAGGGAGCGGGUUUGUAGGCAGUCUGGAUCCCUGAACCUCACCGAUCCAACCUCCUGCCUGUCUGCUGACUCCAGCCCUCCUCCCCCUCCUGCCUGCUGCCAGAGCGCCAGAGCUCCGUAA